UGCCAGCAGCCGCGGUAAUACGGAGGGUGCAAGCAUUAAUCGGAUUUAUUGGGCGUAAAGGGCGCGUAGGCGGCUUUGCAAGUUGGAUGUGAAAUUUCAGAGCUCAACUCUGAAGCUGCAUUCAAAACUGCAUUGCUUGAGGAUAGGCGGAGAAAACGGAAUUCCACGUGUAGCGGUGAAAUGCGUAGAUAUGUGGAAGAACACCGGUGGCGAAGGCGGUUUUCUAGCUUAUUCCUGACGCUGAGGCGCGAAAGCAAGGGUAGCAAACAGGAUUAGAUA
rnacentral:rRNA from 1 species